GUUACUGCAGGCAUUGAAGUCUUAGAACAUUGUUUUAAUGAGUUACAGAUGAGAAAGUAGCAGGAAUAAAGACCCAAAAACCACAAGCUUAUCAGCCCACAAACAUGCUAUGAAGGCAGAAUAGAAGAAGCACAACUUGUUGAAGAAAUGGAAGCUCCAAUGAAGUACAUCUGUAUUCUAGCGUUUCUUGUGAUAAUGACCAUUGCUGGUUCAAUGGAGUGGAAGGACAUGAUGAUUAUGGUCCAUGUGGGAAACAUAACAUUGAGAAGGAAGCUGAGAAGCUGGCACCUUGUACAAAGGCAGCCCAAGAUGUGAAAGCUCCAGUUUCCAACCGUUGCUGCACUGUAAUGGAGAAAAAGCUCAAGAAUCCAAGCUGCCUCUGUGCUAUUAUGUUUGCACAUUCAGCAUACAACGCUGGAAUCAAGCCAGAAGUUGCCGUGACCAUUCCAAAACGUUGCAACAUUGCUGUUCGUCCUGUCGGUCACAAGUGUGGAGUUUUCCCUCUCCUUUAAGUGUGAAG